rnacentral:lncRNA from 1 species
CAGAUGUUUUUCCAAGGAGAUGUAUACAUGUAGGAAGCCAGCAGGCACAAGCAAUGAGGCUCCUCAGUCAGCCAUGAGGGGCUGUUGUGAGGUGACACUUAGAGAGUCCAUCCACAGCACUUGGAAGGGUGCAGCCACAAGCCUCACAUGCUGCUUGGGAGAGCACAAAAUAGAGACUUUUUGCACAAAGUCUGGCAGUUCUUCCAAAAGCCAAACGCAAGAGUCAUUCCUGACCCAAGGAUAUUCCUUGGGCAUCUUUAUAAAUAUUUGCCCAAAUAUUCAGAAUGUUCUCAAGGCUUAUCCAAAGCAUCUAUAAGAAUGACUUUCCCGGGGUUGGGGAUUUAGCUCAGUGGUAGAGCGCUUGCCUAGGAAGCGCAAGGCCCUGGGUUUGGUCCCCAGCUCCGAAAAAAAGAACCGAAAA